UUCUUUCUUUCUUUCUUUCUCUCUCCCUCUUCCUCUUCCUCUUGUUUCUUGAGUUAACUUGUUUUGAGGAAGUCCCAUCACAUCUGCAAGAAGAAACUAAUAGAAUAUACGAUUUGCGUCCCAGAAUAGUUUCCUAGGAGGGGAAUAAUCAUAGAUCUGCAAAGUCAGCUACCCAAAGGUCGUUGAAUAACCUAUAAGAUCGUCACAGUUCUCUGCAAACCAUAAAAAAAAAACAUAUAAAAUUACAAGAAACACCCAUUAAAUCCAUUAGUUAUGAUUCAUAAUAUCCUUUCUGACCUCAAAAAGAAAGAAUCAGCACUCCAAAGGCCAAAAGACGAAAUGCUACUGAGUAAUAUCCACCACCAACUGACAGCAACAGAAAGAAAAAGAAAAAAAAGAAAAAGAAAAGAAUCACCUUUCUAAACUGUGUAUGAGUCUUCCUUUUGUAUAGUCGUUUAUUGCCGAUGCAGCAUCAUCAAGAUUCUCACUUUCAAAGAACUUUGGUUCAUGGAGAUGGAGAGAGAGAGAGAGAGA
rnacentral:misc_RNA from 1 species